AGCGAACGCUGGCGGCAGGCCUAACACAUGCAAGUCGAACGGAUCCUUCGGGAUUAGUGGCGGACGGGUGAGUAACACGUGGGAACGUGCCCUUUGGUUCGGAACAACUCAGGGAAACUUGAGCUAAUACCGGAUGUGCCCUUCGGGGGAAAGAUUUAUCGCCAUUGGAGCGGCCCGCGUCUGAUUAGCUAGUUGGUGGGGUAACGGCCCACCAAGGCGACGAUCAGUAGCUGGUCUGAGAGGAUGAUCAGCCACACUGGGACUGAGACACGGCCCAGACUCCUACGGGAGGCGGCAGUGGGGAAUCUUGCGAAAUGGGCGAAAGCAUGACGCAGCCAUGCCGCGUGAAUGAUGAAGGUCUUAGGAUUGUAAAAUUCUUUCAGCGGGGACGAUAAUGACGGUACCCGCAGAAGAAGCUCCGGCUAACUUCGUG
rnacentral:rRNA from 1 species